CCUGGGGCCCGCAGCCCCCACGGAGCAUCAGCACCCCGCAGCCCCGAGGGGCGGCCGCCGCUGCCCCGAGCCGGUACCGGCCCUCAGGGGCCGCCCCGCCCGCGCCGCCAUCUUCAACGGCCCCGCCGCCCUCACACAGGACCAAUUGUUGGAAUCCAGGGCUACAUAAACACCAAAUAUUAUUAAAAUAGACAUAAGAAGCUGUCAUAGAAUGGAGAUAUUUUUGGAAAGUCCUGAGUGUCUUGGGUGAAUGGAAGGAAUAAGGGACUCUUUGGAUACUGCUACUUUAUUGUUAAUGUAAAAAGCACGGGGAAACUAUGACCAAAGUCACUGCACAAACCAAGACAUCGCAAGCAUAGCUUGCAAGUGUCUUUACUGAUUGAGAAGCUAAAAUUCUUUUCUGCCUAUGAAAGCUGGAAAAAUGUUCAGAAACCACUAUCAGGGGGGCCGGUUUGUUGAAAUAUUCAGUGCUCAAGGCAAGAACCCAGGAGCAAAUUGGAAGAUUUUUGGCAACCCAUCAGCUAUAUCAAAAGAAUACGACAAAGAACUAAAAGGCUUUGUUUUUGUACUUGAAGGAAACAGUCUAAUCAACAAAAUGAAGCUACCAAGGGAAACCAAACAAACUUUGGGACUGGUGCAGCAAUUUCUGACACUUCAGAUUUUUGUGCCAUUGGGAAAAGACUUCUCCACUGAGUUACUGAUAACUGAUUUUGACAAUAUUAAAAGAAGAUUGUAUUUGUCAACGGUCCACAAGGAGCUGUCUGUAACCCCUCUGCAUGCAAAAAUUCCUCUGUUUAUGAUCAAGCGCAAAAUAUGGUGCAAUAUGUGUAUUGACUUGGUAACGUUUACCUAUAAAAUAUUCAGAGGAGCUCUCUUCCAGUCCUUGGAUGGAAUUACUAUUUCAGCCAACUGUAAGCUAAGAAAGGUCUUCACUUUAAAAUUCAAGCCUCCAGUUACAGCUGAGGAAGAUGGUACAUGCAUUGUUUCACCUCGGCCAUAUGAGGCCUGGGAUGAUAUUCCACUAACCUGCCAGCUCAAUUCUGAUGUCCCACAAGUUACACAAGUGCUGGAUCUAAAUGAAAUUCACAAACCAAAAAUAAAAUGUAGGGAAAAUGCAGUGCAAGAAACAGGUAUCUUAGGUAAUAAAGACCAAGGCAACAUAUGCAAUGGUAAAACUCAGGAUGUAUCACAUAUUGCAUUUGGGUCAAAGAUCCUUGGGCCACCUCCAUCUUCAAACAGAAGAACCAAUGCAAAGGUACCUGGAAAGGUAAAAAAGACCUUGGGUAGCAAAGCAUCAUGCCAACUUCAAAAUUCAGGAAUGCCAACUGAAACCAUACCAGAAAAUGAGAGAUUGGAGCUGCCACUCUGGCCACGCAAUGAUACUUUAGAUCAAGGAGGCAAAAGAAGCACUCUCCAAACAACUGCAAAUGAAUAUCAAAAUGACCCUGAAAUUCAGACUCAGAAAACAUCUGUAAGUGGAGAAGCAGAUUUUCAGCUCACCUCGCAACAAGUACCAUCACCAGACAAGGACAGUCAUAUAAGAUUAUCUCUAAAAAAUGCAGCCAAACCCACAUGGGAGAUAACCAGUGAUGAAUGGAUGUUUCCAGAGAGGUUGACUGAGAAUAAUCAGUUGGAUAGGAAGGAGCAUUUUGAGUCUACUGGAAGUUCAGCCUGCUCUAAUUUACCCUCAGCCCAGAAUGCCUCUGUUGAACAUCCCAAGAGGGAAACAGCUGAUCAUCAAAGGAGUAAGAAAGAGGUUUUCACAUUUUCAUCAAAACCUCGAUCAGCUCCUUAUGGAAAGUCUCCCAAUAUAUCACCAGAAAGUUACAUUUUCCCAUUGGAACUGGAGCUCGACAGUAACAGAGAACAUGAGCAAACCACAACUGAAGAUAGCUUUGAAGGAACUGACAGCAGUGAGGAGGUUGACAGCACUGAGGAGGAUGACAACAGUGAACUCAUCCAGAGUGCUGAGAACAUUGAGAACAGCCAGAGUAGACAAGGAACAUCUGAUUCAGCAGUUUUUAAAGAGAUCCCAUUAAAUAAGAUGUCACAGGGAAAUGAGUACUGGAAGAAUAAGGAACACAGCAAAUAUAACUUUGAAGAGGUCGUCUUAUCAAAACCACAGAGUUCCACCAUGAGAAAAACAGAAUCUAUUGGCUUUCAGAGAAGUUUAAAGCCUAUCUUGUCUCUUUCUCCAAUUCAAAGUAAAUCCAAAUCCUUUAGAGUAAUUAGAAAUGUAUCUGAAGAAGCUGAAAGAUAUGAAGGAGUUUUAGAUCAAUUCGAAAGAUCUGUCAGUGAAACAUCUCUCAAGAAAGUUUCAAAUGGAAAUUCAUGUCUGACAGCACAGACUUGUGAGUAUGACAGAAAAAAGUUCCAGUCAAAUAGACUGAGUUCAUCUGAACUACAGAUGCUGGCCAGCAUGAAGAGACAACAAAAUGAAGAAUUAUGGGAUGCUGGGAUCUCCCCUGGGCUGAGCGCCGCACAGAUCGAUUGCUGCAAUGCCAACCUAAGUAUAAGCAGUGAUGAUGAUACAGCAACCUGGAACUCUUGUUUCUCACCACCCGUCAGUCAGCAGCAUGACUAUCAGAAAGAAAUGAGCCCACUUUCUCAUUCCAGCCCACGAUGUUUUCAGCCACUUGUCUCACUGGAUUCAAGAUCUUCUGAUUAGAUUUUAUAAAGUAAACCACCUGAAACUUUCUGUGCAAGUUCACCCAGUUGCAUCAGUUAUUACAAGACACAGCCAUAUAUUUCCAAUAUUUUACUGGAGUUCAUGAAUAAUCCUGGAUUCCUGUUCCCUUUCACAUGUAAAUCAAGGGACUGGUUAAAUGUGUUCAGUCCCCCUGUCAUUCCUGGAAGCCAACAACGAGAAGCGAACACUAAAUCUUCAGCAAAAUAGACAACUCCAGAUACUCAGAAAACCCCGCUGUGAUGAAGUGAUCAUUUCUCCAAGAAACAAGAGAGAACAACAAAGCCAUGCCAUGACCUUCCCUCCCCAAACAGGACAAUUUGGAUUUUUUCUGAACUACUGGACUCCCCUCUCUAUGCAAGUGGCAGAGAAGCUGCAGUGCUGUGUGAAAAAGCCCAGUGAGAUUGGAUCACCCCCACCAAACAUCAGAAUCUGGGUAUUCUCCUAGAUACCUUGGUUUAAAAAAUCCUGAUGGACCGUGGUAACUAGAUGGUUUGGAGCAUCAUUUUUGAAAGAGGUGCCAAAUAAAUUGUGUCCUGUGAUAUGUCUUAAA